rnacentral:rRNA from 1 species
UGGGGAAUUGUUCGCAAUGGGCGCAAGCCUGACGACGCAACGCCGCGUGGAGGACGAAGAUCUUCGGGUCGUAAACUCCUGUCGAGUGGGAAGAAUGGAUCGGGGAUGAAUAAUCUCCGGUAUUGACGGUACCACUAAAGGAAGCCCCGGCUAACUCCGUGCCAGCAGCCGCGGUAAUACGGGGGGGGCAAGCGUUGUUCGGAAUUACUGGGCGUAAAGGGCUCGUAGGCGGCCAACUAAGUCGGACGUGAAAUCCCCAGGCUCAACCUGGGAACUGCGUCCGAUACUGGAUGGCUUGAAUUCGGGAGAGGGAUGCAGAAUUCCAGGUGUAGCGGUGAAAUGCGUAGAUAUCUGGAGGAAUACCGGUGGCGAAGGCGGCAUCCUGGACCGACAUUGACGCUGAGGAGCGAAAGCUAGGGGAGCAAACGG